GAACCUUCGGGGGACGUUAACGGCGUCGAGCGGCGGACGGGUGAGUAAUGCCUAGGAAAUUGCCUUGAUGUGGGGGAUAACCAUUGGAAACGAUGGCUAAUACCGCAUAACGCCUACGGGCCAAAGAGGGGGACCUUCGGGCCUCUCGCGUCAAGAUAUGCCUAGGUGGGAUUAGCUAGUUGGUGAGGUAAUGGCUCACCAAGGCGACGAUCCCUAGCUGGUCUGAGAGGAUGAUCAGCCACACUGGAACUGAGACACGGUCCAGACUCCUACGGGAGGCAGCAGUGGGGAAUAUUGCACAAUGGGCGAAAGCCUGAUGCAGCCAUGCCGCGUGUAUGAAGAAGGCCUUCGGGUUGUAAAGUACUUUCAGUUGUGAGGAAGGGGGUGUCGUUAAUAGCGGCAUCUCUUGACGUUAGCAACAGAAGAAGCACCGGCUAACUCCGUGCCAGCAGCCGCGGUAAUACGGAGGGUGCGAGCGUUAAUCGGAAUUACUGGGCGUAAAGCGCAUGCAGGUGGUUCAUUAAGUCAGAUGUGAAAGCCCGGGGCUCAACCUCGGAACUGCAUUUGAAACUGGUGAACUAGAGUACUGUAGAGGGGGGUAGAAUUUCAGGUGUAGCGGUGAAAUGCGUAGAGAUCUGAAGGAAUACCAGUGGCGAAGGCGGCCCCCUGGACAGAUACUGACACUCAGAUGCGAAAGCGUGGGGAG
rnacentral:rRNA from 1 species